ACCUCUUCCGAGGGCGGCAGAGGAGACGGCCCCGCUCAUUAGCAGCACGAGCCGCGGGCAGGCAGACCGGGCAGCGCUCACAAGGCCGGCUCCUCUGGCUGCGGACGCCAUCGGGGCCCACCGGGGGAGCCGCGCCCGGCCCGCAGACAGCCUCGUGUCAGAAUGCCCGGGGCAGACUGAGCUCCUCCGCCUCACAAGACGGGUCAUUCCCUCCGGGCUUCCAAGCGGGUCCUGGAGCUGUUCUCUUGUUCCCGAGCUCUGUUGGUAUUGAAGUCUGGGCGGCCUGACAGCCCUGGCAGACAGCCCAGAGGCCAGCGCCCCAGGCAGACACUCUCUGCUUGUAAUUCAGCCUCGGCCGCCUCUGCGAUUGGGUGGCAUUUGUGAGCACAAAAGGGAAGACGCGGGCCUUGAGGAGGCGCUCGGAAAGGGCACUGCAGGCCCCCGGCUGGUCUCCUGAGGGCCGACUUUACAGCAAGUGGAGAAUAUUCUAUAUAAUGUGGCCUGUGCGCCAUCUGUGCUGACGGCAGGUUCCCUGAGGGCGGUGGCUGCGUCUGAAGCCAGGCAAUUUGGAUGGAUCUUCUGGAACAUCCAUGAACCAAGCCCCCUUAAUCCUGCCAUGGUGGGAGCUACAGGCUUAGGGCAAGAGGAGCCUGCAAUCGGGAGGACAAGAAGAAAAACGGACCACCCAGGAGCACUUAGAGGUUAUGGAUGAAGAGUUAACACAUUCAGAGAAGUGAGGGGAGGACAGGUGCUGCAGGGAAGAGGUGCAUGUGACAGAACAGACCACCAGGGAAGGAAGGCCUCCUGCAUAGCUGGGGAUUUGUGUGGCUUGGGAAGAUUUUAGAGACAGAGGUGACUAAGAUAACCACAGUAAAAGCUUGUCUGUUUAGUGCUUGACCCCCUACCAAGCACUGUUCUAAAACCUCAUAUUCAUUAAAUUCUUACAAGAACCCCAUUGCACCCCCAUUUUACAGAUGUGGAAACUGAGGUAUGGAGACUUGAAGUAACCUCUCCAAGGUGCCCAGGUAGUAAGAGGUUAAGGGAGAAGAUCCAGUGUGAAUCCCAACCAUCGCACUCCACUCUCUCCAGUAACGACCUCAGCAGAACCUUAAGCUUUGGUGCCGUUUCCCAAGUCUGCCCCAUCCCCUAGCUGGCUCUGAGUACCCACGGAGUGGCCAGGCAGCUGUUUCUGCUCCAUUUCCUAGGUGAGGGUGCUGCAAACUACCAGAGGCUCCACAGAAACGAAGAGGCAGAAGUGGGGCUCACGUCCCUGUCACCACGCCUGGCCCCCUGCCUGCGAGAAAGCCUUGGGGAUGUCUGUCCUCUGCCUCGGCAAGCAGAGGGCAUUUGGGAAAUGACAUUGAAAGGCAGCAGGCAGGAGCGUUCUGCUCCUUUCCCCAGCCCACCCUCUCCCAGCCGUAAGAUAUAUAUAGCACCAGCGGAGAAGUGAAUCGUGUGUUUGUCUGCAGCCCCUUUCUGCAGAUCCAUCACGGAGCCGCGCUCGGUGCAGAUUUUGCAAACAGCUUGAGAUUGCUGAAUUAAUUAGAAUAAAAUUAAUCAAAACACCCACCACAAAGGAA